ensembl:processed_transcript
GCUAUUUUCACAUGGAGAAUGGUUUCAGCUGUUGAAUUCACCUCAGAUCAGUGUUGCUGUAAUUCCCGAUCUAUGGAAAGAAUAAUUGAAUGAGGAAAAAAUACAACGUUGUGCAGACAUCGCUACAACGUAAAUGUGUUUGUUGGGGACCCAACAAACACACAACGUUGCCUCAACGUAGCGACCUUCCUACAACGUUGUACCAACCUUGCAAAAAGGUUGAGGAUUCUACGUUGUUGCUAAACGUUGUCACAACGAUGUCAUAAGGUUGCCAUUUAAACAUCACGAGGGCCGCAUACUUUAGGUUGUGCUUAGGUGGCGUGGACAACCACUGUACAACAUUUACUGGUCACAGCUGAAUCAGUUUAAAUUUCAACAAGCCGUCGUCUCAUUCAUCAACAACUGAGGAGACCUGCGCUCCCCGGUCUGCUGUAUUCUCCAGUCCAGCUUCACUGCCCAGUGUCUGAAUUUUAAUUUAUAUAUUUAUUUAUAUAUAUAUAUUUACAUUUUAAUGAUUUCUUGUUUACUUUUCUUGUUUGCUUACCCUUUAGUUUAAUUAUAUAUAUAUAUAUAUGUAUAUAUAUAUAUAUAUAUAUAUAAUCUAAACUUUAUACUGUUUGUUUAUAAUUAGAUGUGUACUGUAUGUAUUAAAUGUUGUGAAAUAUAUAAUAAAAAGUUUGAUUAUA